UCUCUCUCUCUCUGUCUCUCUGUCUCUCUGUCUCUUUCUCUGUCUCUCUCUCUUAAUAACCUGUCUCCUGUUGUCAUUUGGUUAUUUAUCGUGUCUGGCUGUUUCAUACUGCUCAAAAUGUCUGUCUUCAUUGCUUCUAAGAUAUAAAUUGAUGAUUCUCAUGAGUAUUUAUUUCAUACUUCAUUUGUUAAUCUCAAUUUCAUAUACAUAUUUCUUUUAUUAAUAUAAUUUUACUAACGUAAAAGCAAUUUUGAAUUGUUUGUAGUCAGCAUUAAAUAAUUGAAUUUAAUUGCUUUUUAGUUAGAAGUCUCAUUAAUUUUCAGAGAAGAACAUCUUACGAACAUAUAAAUAUUCUACACACUCAGACCUUUGUCCUUUCUGUAGAGAAUAAGAGAAAUAGAUGAUUAUUAAAAUUAUUAGAAUAAAACUUUUAAAUAGGACCAGUAACCCAUUAGAUUUAUGAAUCCUUAAAGCAGAUACAGACUAUAUUAAAAUUGUUUGGAAAAUAAAUGCUUGCUUUUAUAGCAAGAGACCUUUAAAGACAAUCAUGGAGUAAACGGCUUGUGAGCCUAACGCAUGUCAGUCUCUUCAAUCCUAACUCUUUGGAGGGAGAGAUAAAUCUUGGUUCUUUGAAACUAAGACCUACGCCAGAAGUUAGAUUUGCCAUCCAGAUUUAUUAACGAGUAGUAGCGUUUCUUUACUCUGUUCGGAAGACCAGUGAAAUGCCAGAGGACCGUGCAGAGUAAUUGCUUUUCAGGCUGUCCUUUUCCACGGCAUAUACAUUCAGGCACAUGAUAUGGAUCAGCCUUAAUUAAAUUGAUAAUUAACUUUUCGUCCAUACAUUAAGGAAGGUAAACUCUAAGUGUGAUAUUAACAAGGAAGGUCAAAUGAGAACUUACAUACACAUCUGUUUGAUAAGCAUAUUGUAUAUUUUUUCUGGAAAGAUGACUGCGAACCGGUGGAUACUAGUUAAAUAUCGUUAGAAGAUAAAAUGUAGUGUGUAGAAAAGUGCACGGGCAUGGAAAUAGUGCGGUUAGUUUUUUGUUUGGUUUGCUUUGAAGUAAGUGACCUGAAAAAAAGACCCCUACUGUAGUAAGUUUUGAGGUUGGAAAAUCCCUGCCUUUCAUGAACAAAGCAAGUUGGAAAGGAAAAGUGUAUCUAGAGACUGGUGUUAGUUUUGUUUUGGAAAAUUCUGUGCUUUAGAGCAAAUAAAUGAAGGUAAUCCUACUUGCCUGGGGAUAACUUUGAUUUUCUCCCAUUGUGUCUUUUUGCGCUUCCCAAAUAGUUUCUAGAAAAGAAAAAAAAAAAAGAACUUGCCAUCAAGUAAGUUUGUUAGAUUUUCCAUCGCACUUUAUUGUUGAUCUCUGUUUUUGAAAUUAUGUAGGGAUAACGAAGAGGCCCAUUUGGCAUUACCGCAGAUGCUGACCUAGGAUCACAGCCCUGCCCAUCGCUGGCGGUGUGCUGCUACUCGUGCACCCCCGUUUGUCCCGGAAGUCAGUGUACGCAUCCCGGCUUGUAUGGCUUCGGUCUGGGAAACAGCCUUCCGAAUAAUGUGACCGAGCCUGCCUUCAUUUAGCCAACAUCAUGCCCACAUUUUGGGGGGACCAGACUGCUGACAGGUCUUUGCUAAGUGUAGAGAAAAUCGUAUUUCAGAAUUGUUGGGUUUAGCGUGUUAAUAAAGGAAAGUUCUUUUGCCUCAAAAGAGAGGUUUCCUUAUCAUACACUCGUCUCAGGGCAUCGGUCGCCAAACCUGAGCCAUUCACACAUGUGCGUUCUGCUGUGCCCUCACCUCCUGUUCGUGUCUUACCCUCGUUUUUUCUUUAAGGUGAUUGUAAAGAGAUUCACUUAGAAAUUAAUCCUUCAUCUUCUUCAGUAAAACUGUGUUUGAAAUACUCAAUUUUAUUUCUCAUGUACAUGGAAACGUACACAUAAAUAUUUCAACCCAGGAAUGUAGUCCCACACGGACUGUAAUUGGAGAACAGUUUUAGAGCUUCAGCAGCCGGAUUACUCGUCGUCCUCUGUUGCUGAAGUCCUAGCAGAGUUGAGCUGCAGACCUGUCCGUGAAGAGGUUGGCAUGAACUCACGCUACAAACGUCUACAAACAUCUUAAGUAGUCCACGUUCCGUACUGAAAUCUCUGAUUGCUCAUUUCUGCUAGGUUUUGUCUUCACUCAGUCAGUAUUAUCUGUUUCACAGAUAACGUAGCCGCCCUGUUUCAUUAAUUCUGUAAGUUUUGUGUUUGUUCAAAGUG